CGGUGUUUACCGAUGGAAGUUUGAGGCAAUAACAGGUCUGCGAUGCCCUUAGAUGUUCUGGGCCGCACGCGCGCUACACUGAUGAAGUCAUCGAGUUCAUUUCCUUUAUCGGAAGAUAUGGGUAAUCUUUUGAAACUUCAUCAUGCUGGGGAUAGAGCAUUGCAACUAUUGCUCUUGAACGAGGAAUCCCUAGUAAGUACAAGUCACUAGCUUGUGCUGAUUACGUCCCUGCCCUUUGUACACGCCGCCCGUCGCUACUACCGAUUGAAUGGCUUAGUGAGGCCUUCGGAUUGAAAUUCGGAGACUGGCAACAGACUCUUGGUUUUGAAAAGUUGGUCAAACUUGGUCAUUUAGAGGAAGUAAAAGUCGUAACAAGGGUUCCGUAGGUGAACCUGCGGAAGGAUCAUUACCGAUUUUUAGCGGACCUGGUCUUUGAUCAUGGUCUCGUGAAAACUUGUAUUUAAAACCCCACUCUUAUAAAUUGAAUCAUUUUAUUAUAUGUAUAAUAAAUAAAGAUCACUUUCAACAACGGAUCUCUUGGCUCUCGCAUCGAUGAAGAACGUAGCGAAGUGCGAUAAGUAAUGUGAAUUGCAGAAUUCCGUGAAUCAUCGAAUCUUUGAACGCAAAUUGCACUCUCUGGUAACCCGGGGAGUAUGCCUGUUUGAGGGUCAGUGUUAAUAAAAAUCGGUGCGUUGCAAAUUUUUGUGAUGUUCCGGAGUUUGAGUUAUCUUAACCUUCCUUCUGGGUUUUAAGAGGCUUAAAAUUGACCUUUUUUGUGCAUUUUAGACGUACAUAAAUUUUUUUUAUUCGUUUAUCUUAAUGCCAAAAUCUAUUAGAUGCGACCACAUAGUGUGCCUC
rnacentral:rRNA from 1 species